UGGGUUUCCCGGGGCCUUUUGCAAAUUUCAGAGGCCAAAGAUGUGGACACUUGGCGUGCUUUGGUCUUCGAGGGGAGAGGGCUGGAAGCUCCGGGGAGCAAAGCAGCUUGCCCAGGCCCCCUCGGGGCUCCCCAGGGCCUCAGUCUGGAGGAGGCAGCCUUGGGAACCGAGCCCCUCUUCCCCGCUCCCCGGGUCUUCGAUUGCAUUUCCCCUUCUUUGAAGAAGCAGAGUUCUUCGCAGAGUGACCUUGAAAUAUCUGGUCAAACCGGAAUAGGAGGAAAGGAAAACGCAGUUGUUUUCUGGCUUGACUUUUUUUUUUCUUAUUUUCCCCAGAAAAAGUGAACGAAUUGCCUAGGAAUCUAGUUCUCAAGGUAAAGCCCAACAAGAGUAACAGGAACCAGGCGGCCCCAGGUGUGUUUCUUCCUGACCCUCUUCCUCCCUCCCCUCCCCCUCCUCUUGCCCCUCCUCCUCUCCUUCCCCACUCCCCGCAUCUGCCUCUUCCAUCACCUUCUGCCUUCUCCUCCUCCUCUCCUCCCCCUCGUGCUGUCCCCUCCCUUCUCCCCUCUUCUCCUUCCCAGGCUGGCCCAGGGAGCCGCUGACCGCCCGCGGUUCUGCAGUCACAGACCUGGGAGGCCACGCUCAGAGGGACACCUGGGAGGUGUGCGAUGUCCUUGCGGCACACCUGGCAUUGCCGAUGCCCGGUCUCCUGCUCUGGCUCCCUGCCCCGCUCCCUGCUUUGCCUCCCGCCUUGCGGUCAAGGCCAAGCUAUAGGAUGCUCCGCGGGAUCCGUGAAAACCUUUCUUCUUCUCUGCUGGAGCCUUUGCGUUCCUGGAAGGGGCCUUCCUGCAGGGAGUGGAGUGGGAUGGAGGGGACUGCAAGUGCGGGAAUUUGUUGGUGUGGACAGGUCUGUGGCAGGAUAAAGGCGGUUUGGAAAAAGCUCCAGAAAUGUUUAGAGCAUCCUCGGCCCAUCACUCAUUUGUCCGGGAGUGUAUAACACGUAUGAGUGAAGAUGGAAGGCCAUCAUAGGUUUUUAUAAAAGGGAAGACUGGGAAAGAGCAAACAUCACUAGUAGGGUCCUGACAAAUGUGACUAUCACAGAAUACUCCGGAACCAGCACGGAGCACAAAAGAGGUAAGGUCUGUGUACUGUCUCUCCCGUUCUGUGCUAAAACCACGCUAAAUGCUGGACAAGCGAGGGCUUGCCUGAUCCUCACAACAACUAAAACCAGCACUAUCGGCAGAGAAACUGAGGCAUGAAGACGUUAACUCGUCCAAGGUCGAGAACCCGGUGAGUGACAGAUGCCAGUGAGACUUCAGGCAGCCUAGCUCCAGAGCCCGUGUUCUGUUAGUGUGUGUGUGUGUGUGUGUGUGUAUUUGCUUAUUUAUUUUCAUUUUAUUUGAAAGGCAGAGAGGCAUCUUCUGUCUGCUAUUUCACACUCCCCAAAUGCCUGCAGCAGUCAGGGCUGGGCCAAAGCCAGGGGCCCAGAACUGCCCUGGGUGACAGGGAUCCCAGUACUCGGGCCAUCUUCUGCCGCCUUCCCAGGACGUGAACUGGCAGGAAGCUGGACGGUUCGUGGAGCAGCCGGGACUUGAACCGGCGCUCUGAUACAGGAUUCUGGCAUCGGAAGCGCCGGCCCCGCCUGGCCACUGUGGGUGUCCCUGCACGCCCUGUGCCAUCU
ensembl:lncRNA